GCUACUUGCACAAGCACUUCCUGAUUCGCCGUAAUACAGCUCAUCAGCUUCCGGUUCCAAGAUGGCAACGUUCUACACCCGGUGUUUACAGGAGCUGCCGACAAUAAAUAUCACAGAUGUGCAUCGUUUAUGUCGGGAAACAAAAACUCCGACAAGCAAAUUGGAGAAGGGGUUUAGGCUGUAUGCUUCGAACUUCAUUCACAGCUACGAAGGUAAGAAAACGACGUCUAACAGACGCUAGCUACUGUCAAAGUCUAAUCUGUCAGUUAACUGUCACUGUCGAACGUGUAUUACGACGCAGGAACAGCAAACGCCAACAAGAUUUCUUAACGAGUGUUUUAUAUCAGCCUUGAUGUUUGCCUGUUGUGUUGAGUAAUAAUAGUUUAAGUACAGCCACGGUUUUGUGUAUAUAAAAGUAACAUUACCAGGCUACCUAACGUUUCUUUCCAUGUGGUAACAUGUUAUAGAUGUGAUGAUGCGAGUAACCCAGUACAAUUGAAGCUUAAUGAAUUUGUAUGUGUUAUUUCAUUCAGUGUCCAAUAAAGACAAGCUGACAGUGCAGGUCAGCGUGAGAGCCUUGUGCUACAGGUCGAUGGGGAAGAGCGAGGCACCACAGUUUUAGAGUCUAGGCAGGAAGCUGUGUUCAUCCCUGUUCAGUGGUGUUUGUUCGGUUAAGCAGUAGCUAACUGUACUCCUCAAGGGCCAACAACUUGAAUGUUUUUCAUGUCUCCCUGUUUUUCACACACAAUUCAAUCUGGUCAAGGUAAUGAGUACAAGGCUACAACUUUUCAAUAAACAAGAUAUUUAUUGUCGUUUGCACAGCAGAAGUACAGGUACAUUGGAAUAAUUGUGAUUCUUGGAGUCCGCUUUAAAAAUAAAACACAUCUUUAUUUUAAGAGGGAGAGAAUAUAACAGUAAGCAUUCCGGGUGGUAGGCUUUUUCUAGCACAGUUGAAGUACUUACCUUCAUAAGAAACAAGUUGUUUUUUACACCCAUGAUGCUGAGGUUAUAUUUCUAAUGAUUUACCUUUUUCUCUUAGAUCAAGCUUUGUGAUUCAUCACCCCAGUGAUGAAAAAAGAAAGAGUUAAUCUAUGGGCUGGAGCAGCUCUCUCUGAGAGGAAAAGAAAAAAAGUAUAGCUCAAAAACAACAAAUACAAAUGCAAUGGCAUCACGUAUAAUUACAUCUGUAACUACUUAUAAAGUACUGUUGAUGCACGUGCAGGUGCGACCACUUCUUUUUUCUGGGCAGCUGAUUUGGCUCUGGAAACACGGACCAUCUUGUAGAGAAGGCUCAAUCAAAGACCAAAAAGCUAUCAGAUGGUUGUAGCUGGCAAAUCUAUUCACAAAAGACAUCGCAUAAAAUUUUUCAAUUAGAAGUGUACAUCAAAAGUAUACAUUGUUACCAAAAUAAUGUCAACAGUAACUACUAAGAUUAAGAUUUUAUCGUAUAUAUAAUAUAUAUAUAUAUAUUAUGUAGCAGGGUGACCUGUAUUUCUCCCAUAUAUCUGUUUCAGCCUCAGUCACCUCCCUUUUACCUGUAUUGUGACUUGUGCCACUAUGCAACGGUUGCUCUACCGGAUGGCGUCGUAACUAAUCCCUGGCACUCAGCUGACAGAGUAGUGUUCUUGUCCGGGCCGUAUCUUUGGGAGGCGCGGUUUGGUGGUUUGCCGUGUACUUGCAUGUAGAUAAGUAGGGUGUUACCUGCUCAAUUCAUACAUUUUUACAAUUGUUUAUUAAUAGUAUUUUGUUCUAGGACCAGCAUUGGUGGAGUUGGAGACGGUCACAUUCUGGCGCUGGCGCUUCAGUGCUCCUAUUUUCAUCUCAUAGAAUAAUAACAUGACUUUUUUCAACCAUUUAAAAAUAAACUUUUGUAGACUUGAACUGGAAA